AAAGGAGAUCGUGAGCUGGGUUUAGACCGUCGUGAGACAGGUCGGUUACUAUCUGUCAGGGGUGUUCUGCGGUCUGAGGGCAGGCUGGCUUUAGUACGAGAGGAACAAGCCAGCGGCGCCACUGGUCGAUCGGUUGUCUGGCAAGGCACCGCCGAGCAGCUACGCGCUAACGGGAUAAGGGCUGAAAGCAUCUAAGCCCGAAACCCAACCCGAAAAGAGACCGCUCCAAGGGCCCUCGUAAAAGACGAGAUCGAUAGAGUCGGGGUGUACGCACCAAGGCAACGAGGUGCUCAGCCCGCGACCACUAACCGCCCAAGCAGCCGUCCCG
rnacentral:rRNA from 1 species